GCGUCGAUAGUUCGACUGUUAGAAUAGUUGUUUCCGAAACAGUCGACACGACACGGGUUCAACUCCCGGCCGACGCA